rnacentral:rRNA from 1 species
UACGAAGGGUCCAAGCGUUGUUCGGAAUCAUUGGGCGUAAAGCGCGCGCAGGCGGAUCAGUAAGUCAGGUGUGAAAUCUCGAGGCUCAACCUCGAAAUUGCGCCUGAAACUACUAGUCUAGAGUGUCGGAGGGGGCAGGGGAAUUUCACGUGUAGGGGUAAAAUCCGUAGAGAUGUGAAGGAACACCGGAGGCGAAGGCGCCUGCCUGGACGACUACUGACGCUGAGGCGCGAAAGCGUGGGGAGCAAACAGG